GACGAACGCUGGCGGCGUGCUUAACACAUGCAAGUCGAGCGGAAAGGCCCUGCUUUUGUGGGGUGCUCGAGUGGCGAACGGGUGAGUAACACGUGAGUAACCUGCCCUUGACUUUGGGAUAACUUCAGGAAACUGGGGCUAAUACCGGAUAGGAGCUCCUGCUGCAUGGUGGGGGUUGGAAAGUUUCGGCGGUUGAGGAUGGACUCGCGGCUUAUCAGCUUGUUGGUGGGGUAGUGGCUUACCAAGGCUUUGACGGGUAGCCGGCCUGAGAGGGUGACCGGCCACAUUGGGACUGAGAUACGGCCCAGACUCCUACGGGAGGCAGCAGUGGGGAAUAUUGCACAAUGGGCGGAAGCCUGAUGCAGCAACGCCGCGUGCGGGAUGACGGCCUUCGGGUUGUAAACCGCUUUCGCCUGUGACGAAGCGUGAGUGACGGUAAUGGGUAAAGAAGCACCGGCUAACUACGUG
rnacentral:rRNA from 1 species